UACGGAGGGAGCGAGCGUUAAUCGGAAUAACUGGGCGUAAAGGGCACGCAGGCGGACUUUUAAGUGAGGUGUGAAAGCCCCGGGCUUAACCUGGGAAUUGCAUUUCAGACUGGGGGUCUAGAGUACUUUAGGGUGGGGUAGAAUUCCACGUGUAGCGGUGAAAUGCGUAGAGAUGUGGAGGAAUACCGAAGGCGAAGGCAGCCCCUUGGGGAUGUACUGACGCUCAUGUGCGAAUGCGUGGGGAGCAAUCA
rnacentral:rRNA from 1 species